rnacentral:rRNA from 1 species
UUAGGAAUAUUCGUCAAUGGGGGAAACCCUGAACGAGCAAUGCCGCGUGAAUGAAGAAGGCCCUAUGGGUUGUAAAAUUCUGUUGUAUGGAAAGAAAGAUAGAUAUAGGAAAUGAUAUGUAUUUGACGGUACCAUUCAAGAAAGCCACGGCUAACUACGUGCCAGCAGCCGCGGUAAUACGUAGGUGGCGAGCGUUAUCCGGAAUUAUUGGGCGUAAAGAGUGCGCAGGCGGUUUGAUAAGUCUAAAAUAAAAGCCCGAAGCUUAACUUCGGUUCGUUUUAGAAACUGUCAGACUAGAGUGUG